CAGCCGCCGCGGGAAUACAGAGGAUGCAAGCGUUAUCCGGAAUGAUUGGGCGUAAAGCGUCUGUAGGUGGCUUUUCAAGUCCGCCGUCAAAUCCCAGGGCUCAACCCUGGACAGGCGGUGGAAACUACCAAGCUGGAGUACGGUAGGGGCAGAGGGAAUUUCCGGUGUAGCAGUGAAAUGCGUAGAGAUGUGGAGGAAUACCGACGGCGAAGGCAGCCCCCUGGGCCAAUACUGACGCUCAUGCACGAAAGCGUGGGGAGCAAACAGGAUUAGAGACCCCUGUAGUCCCUGUCUCUUAUAC
rnacentral:rRNA from 1 species